rnacentral:rRNA from 1 species
UACGUAGGAUCCAAGCGUUGUCCGGAUUUACUGGGUGUAAAGGGUGCGCAGGCGGACUUAUAAGUCAGGGGGUGAAAAUCUCACAGCUCAACUGUGAAACUGCCUUUGAUACUGUAGGUCUUGAGUCAGAGAGAGAGUCGUGGAAUUCCGAGUGUAGCAGUGAAAUGUGUAGAUAUUCGGAAGAACACCAGUGGCGAAGGCAGCGACUUGGCUCUGUACUGACGCUCAGGCACGAAAAGCAUGGGGGAUCAAAACAGGGA